rnacentral:rRNA from 1 species
GCGACGACCGAGGGAGGAUGAGCUGUGUCAUGAUACAGCUCCGCACUCCUGGGGCGUCUCAUUCUUAUUGCAAGAAGAGGCGCACCUAGAGCGUACACGUUGGGACCCGAAAGAUGGUGAACUAUGCCUGGUCAGGAUGAAGUCAGGGGAAACCCUGAUGGAGGUCCGUAGCGAUUCUGACGUGCAAAUCGAUCGUCGGAACUGGGUAUAGGGGCGAAAGACUAAUCGAACCAUCUAGUAGCUGGUUCCCUCCGAAGUUUCCCUCAGGAUAGCUGGCACUCGUUUUAUACGAGUCUCAUCUGGUAAAGCGAAUGAUUAGAGGCCUUGGGGCCGAAACGACCUCAACCUAUUCUCAAACUUUAAAUGGGUGAGAUCUCUGGCUUGCUUGAAUAUAUGAAGCCAUGAGAUUUCGGAUCAGAGUGCCAAGUGG